AUUGAACGCUGGCGGCAGGCUUAACACAUGCAAGUCGAGCGAGCGGCGGACGGGUGAGUAAUGUCUGGGAAACUGCCUGAUGGAGGGGGAUAACUACUGGAAACGGUAGCUGCUACCGCAUACCAUCAGAUGUGCCCAGAUGGGAUUAGCUAGUAGGUGGGGUAAUGGCUCACCAAGGCGACGAUCCCUAGCUGGUCUGAGAGGAUGACCAGCCAAACUGGAACUGAGACAGGGUCCAGACUCAUACGGGAGGAAGCAGUGGGGAAUAUUGGACAAUGGGCGCAAGCCUGAUGCAGCCAUUCCGCGUGUGUGAAGAAGGGCUUCGGGUUGUAACGCACUUUCAGCGAGGAGGCGUUACUCGCAGAAGAAGCACCGGCUAACGCCGUGCCAGCAGCCGCGGUAAUAC
rnacentral:rRNA from 1 species